rnacentral:rRNA from 1 species
AUGGCUGACCAUGGGAUUCUUCAUCAAACUUCAUGUCCGGACACCCCCCCUCAGAAUGGAGUGGCCGAACGGAAGAAUCGUCAUGUUCUUGAGGUCACUCGGUCGUUGAUGUUUACCAUGAAUGUGCCUAAGUUCUUGUGGGAUGAUGCAGUUAUGACAACCACAUACUUGAUCAACCGAACACCUUCCAGGAUACUUGGCAUGAAAUCUCCGUCUGAGUUGAUCAUUGGAGAUAAUAAGUUUGUUGUUCCCCCAAAGUUGUUUGGCAAUACCUGCUUUGUUCGUGAUCACCGACCAUCUGUUGGCAAGCUUGAUCCUCGGGCAGUGAAGUGUGUCUUUCUGGGAUACUCGUCUAGUCAGCAGGGGUAUAAAUGUUGGUGUCCCUCUGAAAAACGCAGAGCUUGA